rnacentral:rRNA from 1 species
AUGGAGGACCGCGCCAGUUUCUAUUGAAAAAGAUUUGGAUGAGCUGUGGAUCGGAGUGAAAAGCUAAUCGAGUGCGGUGAUAGCUGGUUCUCCCCGAUAUGCAUUGAGGGGCAGCCUUACGGAAUUGAGAUAUGGGGGUAGAGCUCUGGAUGGAUGCGGGGGACUGGGGUCCUACCAAAUUCAACCAAACUUCGAAUACCAUAUCUGUAUUGCGGGAGUGAGACUACGGGUGAGAAGGUCCGUGGUCGUGAGGGAAACAGCCCAGACCGUCAGCUAAGGUCCCUAAGUGUAUGCUAAGUGUGGCAAGGAUGUGAGAGUGCCUGGACAGCCAGGAGGUUGGCUUAGAAGCAGCCACCCUUUAAAGAGUGCGUAACAGCUCACUGGUCGAGGACUUUUGCGCCGAAAAUGUAGGGGGCUAAGCAUACUGCCGAAGCUGCGGGAUAUGUGCUAGUGAGUAUAUAUCGGUAGGGGAGCGUUCCAUACGGGGUGAAGCCGAACCGCGAGGUCGCGUGGACUGUAUGGAAGUGAGAAUGUCGGCAUGAGUAACGCGAAGUGCGUGAGAAACGUACUCACCGAAAGCCCAAGGUUUCCUGGGGAAGGUUCAUCCUCCCAGGGUUAGGCGGGACCUAAGACGAGGCUGAAGAGCGUAGUCGAUGGACAGCAGGUAGACAUUCCUGCCCCGGCCUAUGCCGUUAUAACUGAAGGGGUGACACAGAAAGCUAGGUGCUCCGGGUGAUGGAAUACCCGGUCCAAGGAUGUAGGAAGGCGCUUCAGGCAAAUCCGAGGCGCUAUUUCUGAGGUCUGAUGGGGAGAUCCCACGGGAUCGAAGUCAUUGAAGCUCGGCUGUCGAGAAAAGCCUCUAGGGAGGUAUAGGCUGCCCGUACCCGAAACCGACGCAGGUGGGCUAGCUGAGAAGGCUCAGGUGAGCGGGAAAACCCUCGUUAAGGAACUCUGCAAGUUGACCCCGUAACCUAGGGAGAAGGGGUGCCACUCUGGUGAAGUGUAAAUCAUAUGGAGCUAAGGGUGGUCGCAGAAACCAGGCUCAGGCGACUGUUUACUAAAAACACAGGUCUCUGCAUAAGGCGUAAGCCGAAGUAUAGGGACUGACACCUGCCCGGUGCUGGAAGGUUAAAUGGAGAGGUUAGCGCAAGCGACGCUUUGAAAUGAAGCCCCAGUAAACGGCGGCCGUAACUAUAACGGUCCUAAGGUAGCGAAAUUCCUUGUCGGGUAAGUUCCGACCUGCACGAAUGGUGUAACGAUCUGAGCACUGUCUCAACGAGGGACCCGGUGAAAUUGUGGUACUGGUAAAGACGCCAGUUACCUGUGGUGGGACGGAAAGACCCCGUGGAGCUUUACUGUAGCCUGAUAUUGGAUUUUGGUCUGUCAUGUACAGGAUAGGUGGGAGGCAUAGAACGCAGGGCGUCAGCUUUGCGGGAGCCGCUGUUGGGAUACCACCCUUGACAUGCUGAAGUUCUAACUGUUUAGUCUGAAUCGGCUGGCAGGACAGUGUCAGGUGGGCAGUUUGACUGGGGCGGUCGCCUCCUAAAGAGUAACGGAGGCGCGCAAAGGUCACCUCAGGGCGUAUGGAAACCGCCCAUAGAGAGCGCAAAGGUAUAAGGUGGCUUGACUGUGAGAGAGACGUUUCGAACAGGAACGAAAGUUGGUCUUAGUGAUCCGGCGGUACCGAGUGGAAGGGCCGUCGCUCAACGGAUAAAAGCUACCCCGGGGAUAACAGGCUGAUCCUGCCCGAGAGUUCCUAUCGACGGCAGGGAUUGGCACCUCGAUGUCGGCUCGUCGCAUCCUGGGGCUGAAGCAGGUCCCAAGGGUUGGUCUGUUCGCCCAUUAAAGCGGUACGUGAGCUGGGUUUAGAACGUCGUGAG